GACGAACGCUGGCGGCGUGCCUAACACAUGCAAGUGGAGCGACGAACCAGGGCUUGCCCUGGGGCAAAGCCGCGAACGGGUGAGUAACACGUGGGUAACCUGCCCCGAUGACCGGGACAACCCGAGGAAACUCGGGCUAAUACCGGAUGGGCUCUUCACACAUCAGUGGGUCGAGUAAAGGAAGCUACGGCCUCCGCUUCGGGAGGGGGCAGCGGCCCAUUAGGUAGUUGGGGAGGUAACGGCUCACCAAGGCAACGUUGGGUAGCUGGUCUGGAAGGACGAUCAGGCACACUGGGACUGAGACACGGCCCAGACUCCUACGGGAGGCAGCAGUGGGGAAUCUUGCGCAAUGCGCGAAAGCGUGACGCAGCAACGCCGCGUGGGGGAAGAAGGCCUUCGGGUUGUAAACCCCUUUCAGGAGGGACGAAGGUAGGGCGGUGAACAGCCGUCCCUACUGACGGUACCUCCAGAAGAAGCCCCGGCUAACCACGUGCCAGCAGCCGCCGUAA
rnacentral:rRNA from 1 species